UACAUAAAGGUACUAUGCAAAAGGAAGCAC
rnacentral:piRNA from 1 species